rnacentral:rRNA from 1 species
AGUAACGGCGAGUGAAGUGGCAACAGCUCAAAUUUGAAAUCUGGCCCCCUCGGGGCCCGAGUUGUAAUUUGGAGAAGAUGCUUCGGGUGUGGCCCCGGUCUAAGUUCCUUGGAACAGGACGUCA